AUACGGAGGGUGCAAACGUUGUUCGGAAUCACUGGGCGUAAAGGGCGCGCAGGCGGUUUGAUUAGUCAGAUGUGAAAGCCCACGGCUUAACCGUGGAAGUGCAUUUGAAACUGUCAGACUUGAGUACCAGAGGGGGUAGUGGAAUUCCCGGUGUAGAGGUGAAAUUCGUAGAUAUCGGGAGGAAUACCGGUGGCGAAGGCGACUACCUGGCUGGAUACUGACGCUGAGGCGCGAAAGCGUGGAGAGCAAACAGGAUUAGAAACCCCAGUAGUCC
rnacentral:rRNA from 1 species